ensembl:lncRNA
CACUAGCCUGGAGCAGUUACCAUGGCAUCAAGCGGUGGGUACUCUAUAAACUCAGCCCAGGAUGAGUAAUCGGAUGAGAACACACCCCUGCUGACAGGCAAUGGGCAGCCAACUGGACCCAAAGCAGCUCCUCAGUGCGAUGGAAUUUGGCUAUCCUCAGUACUUCGGACUUGCUGUUGUCUACGGUCUCCGAGUCAAUCUCAGCGUUGCUAUGGUAGCCAUGGUUAACAACACGUACCCUGAGUGCCUGCGACAGACAGACAGACACACCCACCGAGAGGACAGCGCCCAGCUAGCCUCCAGUGAGUUUUCCCUCCUUUAUUAUAUAUUUAAAUAUAUAUAUAUAUAAAUGAAUAAAUAAAUAAAUACAUGCAUAAAUACCUUUUAUUUUUUUUUACUUUUUUUAAAAACUGAUUUUGUGUGUGUUUGCUUGUUAGUUCAGUGUCCAAAAGCCACGCUUACGCAGUUCCAGUGCCUGCGACAGACAGACAGACACACCGAGAGGACAGCGCCCAGCUAGCCUCCAGUGAGUCAGCCCUCCCUGAACCACACCAUUGGUCAGGAAUGCCCAGCACCCAUCCCACCCAGCAUUGACAACUCCACGCAAACCCCAGAACAGCCAGAUUGGAUCCCUCAGUUUGCGCAGACAAUGGAUCCAGACUGGCCAACGCAGUACCGGUAAAUCAAUUUUAAGAGUAGUUGGGGUGAGAAGGUUGAGAAGUCCAAUGCGUCAUGUCUCUUAAUUACUACACAUCUUCUUUAGAGUGACGGAGGUUGGGGACAACAACUUGGUGCAGCUGGAGACCUUGGAUGGCCACCAAUUGAAGACCCAGACACCCUAUGCCUCAGUGAAGCCUCUGCGGAGAAGAGCACGGAUUUGCCCGCCCCCUGAGGAAGCUGCGUCCCAUCCACCCGAACCGUUGGAGGGGGACUCAUUUCAGGUGGCCUGUACUGGACUCCAGGACACCGAGGAGGCUGUGUUCCAUCCACCCGAGCCAGUGUGUUUGAUUGAACCUGAACCGCUGUGCUC